GGUUGCGGGCCGAGUGGUCCAAGGCGCAGGAUUAAGGUUUACUAACUCUCCUGUCCGAAAGGGCGCAGGUUCCGUAACCCUGCCGCAGCCA
rnacentral:tRNA from 1 species